UUAAGUUGCAGGGUAUAGACCCGAAACCCGGUGAUCUAGCCAUGGGCAGGUUGAAGGUUGGGUAACACUAACUGGAGGACCGAACCGACUAAUGUUGAAAAAUUAGCGGAUGACCUGUGGCUGGGGGUGAAAGGCCAAUCAAACCGGGAGAUAGCUGGUUCUCCCCGAAAGCUAUUUAGGUAGCGCCUCGUGAAUUCAUCUCCGGGGGUAGAGCACUGUUUCGGCUAGGGGGCCAUCCCGGCUUACCAACCCGAUGCAAACUGCGAAUACCGGAGAAUGUUAUCACGGGAGACACACGGCGGGUGCUAACGUCCGUCGUGAAGAGGGAAACAACCCAGACCGCCAGCUAAGGUCCCAAAGUCAUGGUUAAGUGGGAAACGAUGUGGGAAGGCCCAGACAGCCAGGAUGUUGGCUUAGAAGCAGCCAUCAUUUAAAGAAAGCGUAAUAGCUCACUGGUCGAGUCGGCCUGCGCGGAAGAUGUAACGGGGCUAAACCAUGCACCGAAGCUGCGGCAGCGAACGUAUCACCCAAGACAACUUUACGGAGUUGACGAUUGACGGAGCGAAGCGACGUCAAAGCGUUCAUUAAAGUCGAGUUGGCUUAGGGAUACGUUCGUUGGGUAGGGGAGCGUUCUGUAAGCCUGUGAAGGUGUGUCGUGAGGCAUGCUGGAGGUAUCAGAAGUGCGAAUGCUGACAUAAGUAACGAUAAAGCGGGUGAAAAGCCCGCUCGCCGGAAGACCAAGGGUUCCUGUCCAACGUUAAUCGGGGCAGGGUGAGUCGACCCCUAAGGCGAGGCCGAAAGGCGUAGUCGAUGGGAAACGGGUUAAUAUUCCCGUACUUGGUGUUACUGCGAAGGGGGGACGGAGAAGGCUAUGUUGGCCGGGCGACGGUUGUCCCGGUUUAAGCGUGUAGGUGUGUGUUCCAGGUAAAUCCGGUUCACUUUAACACUGAGGCGUGAUGACGAGG
rnacentral:rRNA from 1 species